rnacentral:rRNA from 1 species
CCUACGGGUGGCUGCAGUGGGGAAUAUUGGACAAUGGGCGAAAGCCUGAUCCAGCCAUGCCGCGUGUGUGAAGAAGGCCUUCGGGUUGUAAAGCACUUUCAGUGGGGAAGAAAGCCUUGGGGCUAAUACCCUCGAGGAAGGACAUCACCCACAGAAGAAGCACCGGCUAACUCCGUGCCAGCAGCCGCGGUAAUACGGAGGGUGCGAGCGUUAAUCGGAAUUACUGGGCGUAAAGCGCGCGUAGGCGGUCUGAUAAGCCGGUUGUGAAAGUCCCGGGCUCAACCUGGGAACGGCAUCCGGAACUGUCAGGCUAGAGUGCAGGAGAGGAAGGUAGAAUUCCCGGUGUAGCGGUGAAAUGCGUAGAGAUCGGGAGGAAUACCAGUGGCGAAGGCGGCCUUCUGGACUGACACUGACGCUGAGGUGCGAAAGCGUGGGUAGCAAACAGGAUUAGAUACCCCAGUAGUC